AGCCUCAUCAAGUGGUUGUGAUAUGGAUUUUUGACGCAUAUCACAGCCAGCUUUGAUGAGCUAGG
rnacentral:pre_miRNA from 12 species